GAUGAACGCUAGCUACAGGCUUAACACAUGCAAGUCGAGGGGAAACGACAUUGGAAGCUUGCUUCCGAUGGGCGUCGAUCGGCGCACGGGUGAGUAACGCGUAUCCAACCUGCCCAUCACUUGGGGAUAACCUUGCGAAAGUAAGACUAAUACCCAAUGAUAUCUAUAGAAGACAUAUGAAAGGGAUUAAAGAUUUAUCGGGGAUGGAUGGGGAUGCGUCUGAUUAGCUUGUUGGCGGGGUAACGGCCCACCAAGGCGACGAUCAGUAGGGGUUCUGAGAGGAAGGUCCCCCACAUUGGAACUGAGACACGGUCCAAACUCCUACGGGAGGCAGCAGUGAGGAAGAUUGGUCAAUGGGCGAGAGCCUGAACCAGCCAAGUAGCGUGCAGGAUGACGGCCCUAUGGGUUGUAAACUGCUUUUAUAAGGGAAUAAAGUGAGUCUCGUGAGACUUUUUGCAUGUACCUUAUGAAUAAGGACCGGCUAAUUCCGUGCCAGCAGCCGCGGUAA
rnacentral:rRNA from 1 species